CAACCUGGCCAGCCUGCUACCAGAUGAUAAUCCAGCAGAGUCUCUCCGUGAUUGCCUGGAGGUAACUGCUGUGGUCCAGUUCAUCAGACUGGAGCUAACAGAGUGGAAAUGGAAGAGGUGCUGUAUUCUGAUGGGAGAAGUUCUCUUCAAGAUGGAAUCAGGUCCUGAGCGUCCAGGUUGGGAAGCAGCAGGGAGGUGAAGACAUGGACUUUCCCCUCUGUGGCCCAGGGGGCGAUGGAGGAGCAGAUGGAGCAGUCAGGAAGAAGAUGGGGCCCACAACGAUUCCACCUGACUGAUAUGAUAUCGUGAUGCUGAUAGUGCCACUUUAAGAUCAUCUUAUGUUACAAACUCCUCAAGAUGAUUCCAACUUGGCUAAUUGACAUGGUGCACCUUCUUACAAUGUUCUGGCCAGAAUUUCAAAUAAGAACUUCCG